rnacentral:rRNA from 1 species
UACGGAGGGUGCGAGCGUUAUCCGGAAUUACUGGGCGUAAAGGGCUCGUAGGCGGCUCCUUAAGUCAGACGUGAAAUCCCUCGGCUUAACCGGGGAACUGCGUCUGAGACUGAAGAGCUUGAAUCCGGGAGAGGGAUGCGGAAUUCCAGGUGUAGCGGUGAAAUGCGUAGAUAUCUGGAGGAACACCGGUGGCGAAGGCGGCAUCCUGGACCGGUAUUGACGCUGAGGAGCGAAAGCCAGGGGAGCAAACGGG